rnacentral:misc_RNA from 1 species
UGAUAACGAGAGACUAUUAUUAUGACAGAGAAAAUAGUACAAAUAGCCAACUAAAGGAUUCAUGAAACAAAAAUCAUUAUUACAUUCUUGAAGAAGCAAUAUAUAAACAUAAUGAUGAGCAACAAGCUAAUACUGAAGCAACCGGCUAAAACCACACUAUUUAUACGGAAUUUCGCCAUAGGAAAAAGGAACUAAUUUUUUUCAGAAACAACAGCGGCGGCGGCGGCGGCAGCAGGAGGUCCUUGGCAACCAUUUCAGAAGAAGGGAUGAAUCCUAGCUACGAAAUUUCUGUUGCAAUCUUCUCUUGUACACUGCUGUUCUCACAUAAACCCAAUCUCCCAAUUUGUCCAAGAGUUGGAAAAAGGCAUGUCUACAAGAACGCUUUAACAGUAAAGUGCUCGAUACUCCCCAGAAGCCUACAGUGAAUCCGAGACCCAUGCCAGCAUAAAACCAUUUCCAGAAUUCAUCUUUGUCUUCUUGAUUGUAUCGGCCAUCAAUGUUGGGUUGUGAAACGUGAGUAUCAUCUCCCGGGCACUUUUGUUGAAGAGGCUCCCCACAAAGUGCAAAAUUAUUAGAAAAUGAAGAAGCACUGAAUCCCUGAAGCUGAGUACUUGAUGGAAUCCUCCCAGACAAAUUAUUAUAUGACAAGUUCAAGGUGUUGAGAAAAUUUAAAUCAGCCAUGCUAGCCGGAAGUCUGCCUGAUAGCUGAUUUUGAGACAGAUCAAGUGAUUCCAAUAUCUUCAAACAACCAAUCUCUUCAGGGAUUGCACCAAUCAACUUGUUAUUUGACAAAUUUAAUUGAUGAAGCUGUGAGAGGCUUGAUAUUUCCCUUGGAAUCUCUCCCCCAAUUUCAUUGCUUGAAAGGUCAAUUAUCCUAAAUUGUCCUAGAUUUUUUUCGCACACGUAAUUCUGUCCCUUCCAAAGAAUCAAUGCUCUGUCAAUAUAAGCAUACGCCACAGAACCAUCUGUUGUCCCAACAUAUUGAUGAUCGAUUGUUUUAGUUGAAUUCCCAUCAACCAUGGCACUUAAAUUCUUGAGGCAGUAUGGUAUGGUUCCAUUGAUAUCAUUUACAGAGAGGUCCAAGAUUUGAACUUGUUUUAAUUGACACAGUUGCGAGGGGAUGCUUCCAUAGAACUUAUUGGAUUUUAGGCUCAGAUAUUGCAAAGAGGUUAGGCUUUCUCCAAUCCAAGUGGGUACAUUUCCGAACAAUUUGUUACCACGCAGGUCAAUGAAUUUCAACCUAGUGCAAUUCUUUAAAGACAAAGGUAAUGAUCCCGAUAAGGCAUUGUUGCCUAACAUCAGUGUUUCAAGUUUCGAAAGUGAUCC